AAAUUGAAGAGUUUGAUCAUGGCUCAGAUUGAACGCUGGCGGCAGGCCUAACACAUGCAAGUCGAACGGUAACAGGAAGCAGCUUGCUGCUUCGCUGACGAGUGGCGGACGGGUGAGUAAUGUCUGGGAAACUGCCUGAUGGAGGGGGAUAACUACUGGAAACGGUAGCUAAUACCGCAUAACGUCGCAAGACCAAAGAGGGGGACCUUCGGGCCUCUUGCCAUCGGAUGUGCCCAGAUGGGAUUAGCUAGUAGGUGGGGUAACGGCUCACCUAGGCGACGAUCCCAUCCC
rnacentral:rRNA from 1 species